AAAACGCACAUUAGAAGGUACUUUAGUGAAAAAGAAAAGUCACCGGGGGCAGAGUGGUAAAUAAAGAGAGUUGGGAAGGGCGUACUAGUAAAAUUAUAGUAAAGCAGUGCUCUUCAUCUCCGACGAGUGGCAAGUGGUGAAGGUGUGGGAGGAAAGGAAAGCUAAUAAUCCGACAAAAACAAACCGUCUUCUCUGCCUAUGACUCAUCUCUCUGCACAGUCUUCUUUCUCUUGAACGCAGCAGAAUCUUCUCUCUUCUCUCAUUUCGAAGACGACGAAACAAAUCUCCAAGGAAGGCGUGAAGAGUAAAAGUAUAUCUGUUACCUUCUCUUCAAUGCAUUAAUCGCAGUCAAGUCUCACUUACUCGAUCUCAAUCAACAAUGUCGCCGUCGGAGAAUUCAGAUCGAAUUCUCUAAUUCCAGUAAUAUCAGCUCACUCAAAGGAACUCUGUUGAUUGAUUUUAAAAGAGAACAAUAAUGUCUCACUCAUGGGACGGUCUCGGGGAGAUCGCGUCGGUAGCUCAGCUCACCGGCCUAGACGCCGUCAAACUCAUAGGCCUCAUCGUC